GGGGAACCGCCUGAACUGAAACAUCUAAGUAGGGCGAGGAAGAGACAUCAAACGAGAUUCCGUAAGUAGUGGCGAGCGAACGCGGAAGAGGGCAAACCGAAGGUAGAAAUACCUUCGGGGUACGGACUGCUUUUAGGACUCGAUCUGUUAACCGAACGGCAUGGGAAGGCCGGUCAGAGAGUGUGAGAACCACGUAGGUGAAAACGGAAAGAGCUGCGCAGAUUCCAGAGUACGGCCAGACACGUGAAACCUGGUCGGAAGAUGGGGGGACCACCCUCCAACCCUAAAUACUACCCAGUGACCGAUAGCGUAUAGUACUGUGAAGGAAAGGUGAAAAGCACCCCGGGAGGGGAGUGAAAAAGAACCUGAAACCCUGUGCCUACAAGCACCUAGAGCACGUCAAUGUGUGAUAGGGUACUUUUUGUAGAACGGUCCGGCGAGCGAUUGUAUGCAGCAAGGUUAAGGACUUAAGGUCUGGAGCCGAAGCGAAAGCGAGUUUGAAAAGGGCGUUAAGUUGCAUAUAAUGGGCCCGAAACCGGGUGACCUACCCAUGGUCAGGUUGAAGUGGAAGUAAAAUUCCAUGGAGGACCGAACCGACCUCCGUUGAAAAGGCGGCGGAUGAACUGUGGGUAGCGGAGAAAUUCCAAUCGAACCCGGAGAUAGCUGGUUCUCCCCGAAAUAGUUUUAGGACUAGCCUCAAGUUAGAUACCUGGAGGUAAAGCACUGAAUAGCCUAGCGGCCGAGAGGUUAGCGAAGCUUAUCAAACUCAGAAUGCCAGAGUAUUGAUGCUUGGGAGUCAGACAGUGUCAGAUAAAUGUCAUUGUCAAAAGGGAAACAGCCCAGAUCUACAGCUAAGGUCCCAAAGUCAGGUUAAGUGGAAAACGAUGUGAAGAUACGCAGACAACCAGGAUGUUGGCUCAGAAGCAGCCACUCAUUCAAAGAGUGCGUAAUAGCUCACUGGUCGAGCGUCUUUGCGCGGAGAAUUUAACGGGGCUAAACCUGACACCGAAGCUUAGGCAAUCCAGUAAUGGAUUGGGUAGGGGAGCGUUGUAUACGCGGAGAAACAGUAGCGUAAGCGGCUGUGGAGUGUAUAGAAGUGAGAAUGCCGGAAUGAGUAGCGCGAAUGCAGUGAGAAUCUGCAUGGCCGAAAGCCUCAGGUUUUUGGAGGAAGGUUCGUCCGCUCCAAGUUAGUCGGGAGCUAAGGUGAGGCCGGAAGGCGUAGCCGAUGCACAGACGGUAGAGAUUCCGUCACCACCAAAAGAGUUAAGCACAGGGACACAUUUGAAGUCUCAGAGCCGGGUGUUGGUUCCGGUAGAGAUCGAGGGAAGUUAGUACCGAAGUCUGGGAUGGAAGAUGGCGAGAAAAGCUGUGUGUAUUUCUGAGGUGCCCGUACCGCAAACCGACACAGGUAGGUAGGAAGAAGAUUCUAAGGCCAACGGGAGAAGGGUUGUUAAGGAACUCGGCAAAUUGACCCCGUAACUUCGGGAGAAGGGGUGCUCCAGAGAUGGAGCCGCAGAGAAUCGGCCCAAGCAACUGUUUACCAAAAACACAGGUUUGUGCUAAAUCGAAAGAUGACGUAUACGAGCUGACGCCUGCCCGGUGCUGGAAGGUUAAGAGGAGAUGUGCAAGCAUUGAAUCGAAGCCCCAGUGAACGGCGGCCGUAACUAUAACGGUCCUAAGGUAGCGAAAUUCCUUGUCAGGUAAGUUCUGACCCGCA
rnacentral:rRNA from 1 species